UAUACUGCUGGAGAUCCUGGCCUUCCUGGGGCCUUCUAAAGCAUUACAACCCACCACUUCUCUCAGUUUAAUAUUACUUGAGAACCUUCUGAGUCUGUGCUCUCCUACCACCUAGAUGAUACCAGGGUGACUGAAGUCUCUUAUAAGGACUAGAGGCAGUGAACUCAGCCACUGAUCCUGAUCUGUAAGCUAAUCACCCACCCCCAACCCCCAGGCAGAGCUCCACAACUUUCUGCUGUUCCCACAAACAGGAAAACUUCCUUCUGUCCACUCCAUGGUCUUGAAGGUUCCUUCCAGUGAAAACUAUUCUAUUAUGCUAUGAUCGUUAUUCAUAUAUUUUCACAUUUUCCCUGUGUAAUUUCUUGUGUUCUUUUUUUAAACAAUGAGUAGAGGUAUGUGCUAACUAUGGAUGUAUCAGUUUAUCCCCAGAAACUAACUAACUAACUAAAUAAAUAAAGGGUGCAUAGAGUCAUAGAUCCAACAGCUGCAAGACAGAACGAUCCAAUUGCUUGCCUUGCUUGCCUUUACGCCUAAGCUGUUUCUCCUGGAGCAUUUUUUCAUUGUCUCUGAUUACUUACUCAUAAAGAUUUAAGGAAUAAGAACAAAAAUACUGUCUUCUCGGUGUGUCUUAAAACUGGUACAGAGCUUGCAAUGUCGAUAUUAAUAAAGGGUCACAACAGUUCAGCUAUUAAUACAUUUUCCUUGGCAGAGCUUAGCAGAAUAUGAUGAAUGCUGGGUAGAGUAUGUUAUGCAAAUUAGCAUAAAUAUAGGAAAGACCUUUUCCCUUCUGAAUAUAAGAAUAUUCAAAAUGAAUACUGUAGUUGCCAUAUGCACACAGGAACAUAAGAUUAUGUGUAUCACUGGCAACAUCAUCGGAUUAGCUAUUAACAUGUGGUUUAUGUGAGGCACAACUUUGUAACUUCCCUUAAAGGAAGGACAGAAUACUG
ensembl:lncRNA